rnacentral:rRNA from 1 species
CCCUAGUAACUGCGAGUCAAGCGGGAAAAGCUCAAAUUUGAAAUCUGGCAGCUGACAGCUGUCCGAGUUGUAAUCUAGAGAAGUGUUGCCUGUGCUGGACCAUGUACAAGUCUUCUGGAACGGAGCGUCGUAGAGGGUGAGAAUCCCGUCUUUGACAUGGACUGCCUGCGCGCUGUGGCACGCUCUCGAAGAGUCGAGUUGUUUGGGAAUGCAGCUCAAAACGGGUGGUAAAUGCCAUCUAAAGCUAAAUAUUGGCGAGAGACCGAUAGCGAACAAGUACCGUGAGGGAAAGAUGAAAAGAACUUUGGAAAGAGAGUUAAACAGUACGUGAAAUUGCUGAAAGGGAAACGCUUGAAGUCAGCCACGUCGGCUAGAAAUCAGCCUCGCUUCUGCCUGGCGCACUUUCCGGUCGAUGGGUCAGCAUCAAUUUUGACCGCUGGAUAAAGUCUCUGGGAAUGUGGCAUCCUCUUUUGGAUGUGUUAUAGCCCACCGUCGCAUGCAGCGGUCGGGAUUGAGGAACUCAGCACGCCCUGCGAGGGGCCAGGCUUCGGCCAUGUUCGUGCUUAGGAUGCUGGCGUAAUGGCUUCAAUCGACCCGUCUUGAAACACGGACCAAGGAGUCUAACAUGCCUGCGAGUGUUUGGGUGGAAAACCCAUGCGCGAUAUGAAAGUGAAAAGUUGAGACC